UCAAACUUGGUCAUUUAGAGGAAGUAAAAGUCGUAACAAGGUCUCCGUUGGUGAACCAGCGGAGGGAUCAUUAUAGAGUUAUCACAACUCCAUACCCAUGUGAACAUACCUAUUGUUGCCUCGGCAGGUCGCGGACUGCUGGGAAAAGCCCCCCCUAACCCGGGAGGCCUACCCGGGAGCCGUGGUCAAGCCUGCCGGCGGCCCGCGAAACUCUGUUUAGCAUUGAAAUUCUGAAGCAUAACUAAAUAAGUUAAAACUUUCAACAACGGAUCUCUUGGUUCUGGCAUCGAUGAAGAACGCAGC
rnacentral:misc_RNA from 1 species